rnacentral:rRNA from 1 species
AUUGAACGCUGGCGGCAGGCCUAACACAUGCAAGUCGAGCGGAUGAAGAGAGCUUGCUCUCUGAUUCAGCGGCGGACGGGUGAGUAAUGCCUAGGAAUCUGCCUGGUAGUGGGGGACAACGUUUCGAAAGGAACGCUAAUACCGCAUACGUCCUACGGGAGAAAGUGGGGGAUCUUCGGACCUCACGCUAUCAGAUGAGCCUAGGUACGAUUAGCUAGUUGGUGAGGUAAAGGCUCACCAAGGCGACGAUCGUUAACUGGUCUGAGAGGAUGAUCAGUCACACUGGAACUGAGACACGGUCCAGACUCCUACGGGAGGCAGCAGUGGGGAAUAUUGGACAAUGGGCGAAAGCCUGAUCCAGCCAUGCCGCGUGUGUGAAGAAGGUCUUCGGAUUGUAAAGCACUUUAAGUUGGGAGGAAGGGCAGUAAGUUAAUACCUUGCUGUUUUGACGUUACCGACAGAAUAAACACCGGCUAACUUCGUGCCAGCCGCCGCAGUAACAC